AAGAUUUUAAAUUGCUCUAUCUGUGGAUGCUUAGCCUUUAGACGCCAAAAUAAAAGCGGCAAUAUCCGGUUAAAAUAGCAGAUUUCGUAGUUUCAGGAAAAGAUUCAAGCUGUAAGCGCUGAUCUUUUUCUCACAAACUGUUGUUGCCAUUGUGGGACUUGCAUAACAUGUCAUUACAGAAUACAACAUCACGAGGAAUUACUAUGGAUAACAAGUCUUGUCUAGUGAUAUCAUAGGCAGAGACUACAUGUGACAUGCAGUAUACAGUGUCCUGCAAAUCUUGCACAAGGUGUUAUGUUAGAGGAUGCCAACAAUACGUGAGCUGAAUGAUUUUGGUAACUUCUAGUAAGGCAAAGAUUUGCAAACGAAAUACAGCGUAUAAGAAUACAAUAGAACAUAGAAGACUCAGAUAACAAAAACUCAGAUAACAAAAGUUUUAAGUGCUACGAAGAAACUCUAAUAUGAUCUCGAGCUUCCCAAUAUUGCUUAAAUAGAAAAUUCUUCUUUAAAGUAUGACAAAAAAAAAGGAGGUGAUCGCGAUCUAUUAAGCCUGAGCUGCAGAGGAAACACUCAUAACCUGAACCCUAGUAACAUUAACAUAACCUAGCGUUCACUAUGGUACAGCGAGAUGAAGUGAAGACUCCAAUGCAGACAAGCAUCAUCCAUAAGCGUCCAACCUGUAUACAUUGCAAGAGUAGUUGGACAAACGUGUUUGGGUGAAACAUGUUGUAUCAAAAUUCCAGUUAUGAUCAACUAAGCUCAGAACGCUAUGGACGGUUGUUUGUUCUAUAUCUGGCCAUCUGCACCUGUACCCAAAUUAUUCAUCCGUAACGGUUACUUUCCAAGACGCUUCAUGAAUAAGUAAAUCCAGGGAUAUUUAGAAAAUUAAUAAAUUGUGCAUUUAAAUUUGAUCAAAUUUCCAAGAAUAAUUUAAAAACCAGUAAGUUUACUCUCGUAACUACCAAAAUGGAUUACUUAACUUCAGCUUUACAUGCCAGGAAGGUAAUAGAUAAGGAUUAAUCAUCAUGGCCGAUGACACAGUAUGUAUAACACAUUCAUUGGCCAUUGUUCUGUUGUACGUGGUCAACGAUGAAAUACUUGGACAUUUGAUGAAUUCUUUAUUGUAACUCCAGUGUAAAUGUAGCCCCUUUUCUAUAAGCAACUCAAUUACAAUAUAUUUUAAUAGCUUUGUAAUUAAACUAUUUAUACUCGCA